ACCUGCGGAAGGAUCAUUACCGAGUUUUCGAGCUCCGGCUCGACUCUCCCACCCUUUGUGAACGUACCUCUGUUGCUUUGGCGGCUCCGGCCGCCAAAGGACCUUCAAACUCCAGUCAGUAAACGCAGACGUCUGAUAAACAAGUUAAUAAACUAAAACUUUCAACAACGGAUCUCUUGGUUCUGGCAUCGAUGAAGAACGCAGCGAAAUGCGAUAAGUAAUGUGAAUUGCAGAAUUCAGUGAAUCAUCGAAUCUUUGAACGCACAUUGCGCCCCUUGGUAUUCCGGGGGGCAUGCCUGUUCGAGCGUCAUUACAACCCUCAAGCUCUGCUUGGAAUUGGGCACCGUCCUCACUGCGGACGCGCCUCAAAGACCUCGGCGGUGGCUGUUCAGCCCUCAAGCGUAGUAGAAUACACCUCGCUUUGGAGCGGUUGGCGUCGCCCGCCGGACGAACCUUCUGAACUUUUCUCAAGGUUGACCUCGGAUCAGGUAGGGAUACCCGCUGAACUUAAGCAUAUCAAA
rnacentral:rRNA from 1 species